rnacentral:rRNA from 1 species
AUGGGUCUGUCCGCGAAGGUCUUCGUGGUCCUCCUGCUGCUGCUCGUCGCCACGGAGGAGCAGGGGGGAUCGGUGCAGGUGGCUCUGGCGAGGGAUUGCAAGUCGGAUAGCCACAAGUUCCAUGGGGCGUGCUUCAGCGACACCAACUGCGCGAACGUCUGCCAGACCGAGGGCUUCACCCGCGGCAAGUGCGACGGCAUCCACUGCCACUGCAUCAAGGACUGCUAG